UGUGGGAGCUGGCUUGCCUGCGAUAGCGGUGGAUCAGUCAGCCCACUGUGCCUGAUAGACCGCCAUCGCAGGCAAGCCAGCUCCCACA
rnacentral:misc_RNA from 1 species